AGUCCAUUAAGCCUAGUUGCUUAGCGUUGGGAGCAUUACCGUAUGGUAACUCCUCAAAGUCAGUGGCAGGGCUGCAGGUGCACUCUUAGCGUAGUAGAUUUAUUACCGCUUACGAUUGUACUGUAGUUAUCGCCAUAAGCCUAUAUUUUUUAUU
rnacentral:misc_RNA from 1 species